UACAGAGGGUGCGAGCGUUAAUCGGAAUUACUGGGCGUAAAGCGCACGUAGGUGGCGACGUAAGUCGGGUGUGAAAGCCCCGGGCUCAACCUGGGAAUUGCAUUCGAGACUGCAUUGCUGGAGUACGGAAGAGGAAGGCGGAAUUCCCGGUGUAGCGGUGAAAUGCGCAGAUAUCGGGAAGAACACCCGUGGCGAAGGCGGCUUUCUGGCUCGCAACUGACGCUGUAGCGCGAAAGCGUGGGGAGCGAACGGG
rnacentral:rRNA from 1 species